GACGAACGCUGGCGGCGUGCUUAACACAUGCAAGUCGAACGGAAAGGCCCUGCUUUUGUGGGGUGCUCGAGUGGCGAACGGGUGAGUAACACGUGAGUAAACUCCCCUUGACUUUGGGAUAACAUCAGGAAAAUGGGGCUAAUAUCGGAUAGAAUCUCCUGCUGCAUGGUGGGGGUUGGUGAGUUGCGGCGGUUUGGGAUGGACUUGCGGCUUAUCAGCUUGUUGGUGGGGUUGUGGAUUUCCAAGGCUUUGACGGGUAGCCGGCCUGGGAGGGUGACCGGGCACAGAGGGCUAGGGGAACGGCCCGGAGGGCUACGGGAGGCAGCGGUGGGGAAUAUAGCACGCAAGGCGGAAGGCGGAAGCAGCGACGCCGGGUGCGAGAUGACGGCCUUCAGGGAGGAAACAGCGUUCGCGUGUGUCGAAGCGUGAGUGACGGUAAUGGGUAAAGAAGCACCGGCAAACUACGU
rnacentral:rRNA from 1 species